rnacentral:tRNA from 1 species
GGGGACGCAAUUGGUGUUCGACUGCUCCGAAGCCAACAAACGGACGGUUGCAGGAUUGGGGUUCGAUUCCCCACGUCUCCACCA